UCCUUCUCUCCUAGUCCCACCUAUCUUGCUUCCCUAUUGGCCAACAGUGUUUAUUCAUUAACCAAUAAGAGAGACAUAUACACAGAAGGACUUCCCCAAUCGGUGACCCUAGUGAACUCUCCUAGUCAUUGGAGCUAUGGAGCCUGAACCAGCCGUCUUCCAUAACCAGUUGCAGAGAGAGAGGAGUGAAGAGCAAAGAAGUUGGGAGCAAGCUGGUGAUAACCACAGAAACAGCUGACCUGAACAAGGGGGAGCUCAUGCACUUGGACCCAAGACUGAUGUCUGGGAGGCCAGCACUGGACUGAUCCAGACCCCUAAACGUGGAUGUCAAUGAGGAGGCCUCGGCACUCUAUGGGGCCUCUGGUAGUGGAUCAGUAUUUAUCCCUGGCAUAAGAGGGGACUUUGGGAGUCCAUCCCACAUGGAGGGAUACUCUCUCAGCCUGACACAUGGGGGAGGGCCUAGGAUGACAUGAAAGACUUUGGGGAAUAUCCAUGAAGGGCCUUACCCUCCCUGGGAAGCAGAGGGGGGAUGAGGGAGAAGGGAUUGACAGGCUUGUUUCUAAUUGAACUAAUAAAAAAUAAUAUCUUAGGAAAAAAUAAAUGAAAAAGACACAAAGGACCUAUCAUAUAUUGUAAUACAUGACAACUGUAUGAAACUGGUUUUGAUAGUGUCAACAUAUAAAAUUUUACUGUUUUACAACCAUGAUCAUUGUUUUGUAUAUGGACUAUGGUUAUUUUUGUGUUGCAGUGAAAAUGAGAGGUAGUAUCAAAGGAUGGUGUGUCAAAAGUUACUAUCUUGCUCUUUGUAGAUAAAGUUGUCUGGUAACUUAGAAACGUUGCAAAAUGUACUUCUUUUCCUAUGUUAGAAGGGCAAAUAUUUCCAGAAACAUCAUCCCUCUAUUUUAAAUUGGGGGUUAUCUUAAUUUUCUCCAUGUUUUGUAAUAUGAAACAAUAACAGAUUCACAAGCAGCUAUAAGAAAUAACAAAACAUUUUAUGCACAUGUGUUCAGCUUCUCCAAAUAACAUUGUGGGAAAUUUUAUAGUCCUGUGUCAUCAGACAAUUAGGAUAUGGACAGGGAUGCUAGUGUUAUUCAUCCUGUAGAUAUGAAUGAGCAUGUGUGCUUAAGUGAAUUCUAAUGGAUCCUUCUUUUUAUAUGUUCUUCAUCAUUAAUUUACUUAGUGUGUAUGCAUGUCAAAGCACACAUGCGAAGGUCAGAGAACAACGUGCAAGAGUCAUUUUUUUUUCCUUUCACCAUAUGAGUUUUGGUGAUCUAACUCAAUUCAUCAAGCUUGGUGGAAAGAAUGAUUCAAAGUAAUGCAGCUGUCAAAAUGCAAUACAUCAACCGAAACCUGCAUUGAGCACAGCAAAGGGCAGGAUGCAAACAACCUGAGACAAUGACAAAGCAGUAACAAAUGUAUCCAGAAGAAAGAAUAUUGGCACAAUAAAGGAGAAAACAAACUAGAGGUAGAGAAAAGAAGUAGUGAGGAAUGUUCAGAAGAGGGACGAAAAGAUGAAGAAAUGAGAGAAAUAGGGACGGAGAUGAAAAUAAGGGUUGGGGAGAAAAGAAAAAAAAAACAAAGGUUAUGGAUUAUGUGCCAGUUAAAUAUGAGAAGCAGAUAAUGUGACUAUAACAUAAGUGAUUGUUUCCAAUUAAUAAAAGAGCAACUAAAGCAUUAGCAACUAUUUUAUAAAUUGAAACAUGCAUGUAUCUAGGGAGCACAUCUGUUCAUUAUCAUUAUAUGCCAAGGAAUAAUAACCGUUACUAAAAUGUAGACAUAUAUAAUGUAUACUGCGUUGUUUUUCAUCUACUUGAGAAAGAUGGAACCCAAAUCUAGCAUGAAAUAUAGACGGAGUAACUAAAACACAGGAAAAGUCAGGACAAGCUCGGAAUCUAAGAGCCUGUACACUCGUGUGAGUUAAUUCAUACAUUUAUGUUGAAAGCAUAAAAUCUAUGUGACUUUCCUGGAAAAAAAUAUAAUGUUGAUGCAUAGCAUAAGUAACCAAAUAAUAAUUUACAAUAAAAUAAAAAUCCAACCUAAAGAUAUUAGAUAAAGAAAACACUAUAUCGUCUCUUGGUUUUUUUCAAUGAGUAACUUCUGUUUUGGUGGAUGAAGCCACAGUUAUGAUCUCUGUGCUUGAGUAGGAC
ensembl:lncRNA